UACGAAGGGGGCUAGCGUUGCUCGGAAUCACUGGGCGUAAAGGGUGCGUAGGCGGGUCUUUAAGUCAGGGGUGAAAUCCUGGAGCUCAACUCCAGAACUGCCUUUGAUACUGAAGGUCUUGAGUUCGGGAGAGGUGAGUGGAACUGCGAGUGUAGAGGUGAAAUUCGUAGAUAUUCGCAAGAACACCAGUGGCGAAGGCGGCUCACUGGCCCGAUACUGACGCUGAUGCACGAAAGCGUGGGGAGCAAACAGG
rnacentral:rRNA from 1 species